GACGUAGGGGGCCAGCGUUGUUCGGAAUUACUGGGUGUAAAGGGUUCGUAGGCGGUGUGGCAAGUCGGGAGUGAAAUCUCUGGGCUCAACCCAGAGUCUGCUUCCGAAACUGCUGUGCUUGAGUGUGGGAGAGGCGCGUGGAAUUGCAGGUGUAGCGGUGAAAUGCGUAGAUAUCUGCAGGAACACCGGUGGCGAAGGCGGCAUCCUGGACCGACACUGACGCUGAUGAGCGAAAGCCAGGGGAGCAAACGGG
rnacentral:rRNA from 1 species